ACGGCCAUACCACAUUGAAAACACCGGUCCGAUCACCGAAGUUAAGCAAUGUCGGACUCGGUCAGUACUUGGGAGGCUGACCACCUGGGAACACCGGGUGGAACUGUAGGCU
rnacentral:rRNA from 1 species